CCUACGGGAGGCAGCAGUGAGGAAUAUUGGUCAAUGGUCGGGCGACUGAACCAGCCAAGCCGCGUGAGGGAUGAAGGUACAGAGUAUCGUAAACCUCUUUUGUCAGGGAACAAAGGCGGGGACGUGUCCCCGGAUGAGUGGACCGGAAGGAAAAGCAUCGGCUAACUCCGUGACAGCAGCCGCGGUAAUAAGGAGGAUGCGAGCGUUAGCCGGAUUUAUUGGGUUUAAAGGGUGCGCAGGCGGGCUGCUAAGGCAGCGGUAAAACCGCGGGGCUCAACCCCGGCCCGCCGUUGAAACUGGCAGUCUCGAGUUGGAGAGAAGUAUGCGGAAUGCGCGGUGUAGCGGUGAAAUGCAUAGAUAUCGCGCAGAACUCCGAUUGCGAAGGCAGCAUGCCGGCUCCACACUGACGCUGAGGCACGAAAGCGUGGGUAUCGAACAGGAUUAGAUACCCUAGUAGUC
rnacentral:rRNA from 1 species